GGGGAAUAUUGCGCAAUGGGGGAAACCCUGACGCAGCAACGCCGCGUGGGUGAUGAAGGUCUUCGGAUUGUAAAACCCUGUCUUCUGGGACGAUAAUGACGGUACCAGAGGAGGAAGCCACGGCUAACUACGUGCCAGCAGCCGCGGUAAUACGUAGGUGGCGAGCGUUGUCCGGAUUUACUGGGCGUAAAGGAUGCGUAGGCGGGCAUUUAAGUGAGAUGUGAAAUCCCCGGGCUUAACUUGGGGGCUGCAUGUCAAACUGGGUGCCUAGAGUGCAGGAGAGGUAAGUGGAAUUCCUAGUGUAGCGGUGAAAUGCGUAGAGAUUAGGAAGAACACCAGUGGCGAAGGCGACUUACUGGACUGUAACUGACGCUGAGGCAUGAAAGCGUGGGUAGCAAAC
rnacentral:rRNA from 1 species